rnacentral:lncRNA from 1 species
CUGGCUCCUAUCUAUGCUGUGAAUGAGCUGAGGUACCGUGCCUGCAGCAUGAAAUGCAGGUCCCCGUGGGGGACGUCAGUACGAAAUAUGUACUGAGUAUGUAAAGCUGUAGAUAAUCACAUAUGAUAUAGGAGCUCAAUAGAAAUCAGAAACAAGUGAAUAAGUCGUAAUAGGAGUGGACCACACUUACUAGAACUUGUGACAACCUGUACAUUGUAUUUAUUCAAUCACUUUACCUUCGUUCUUAUCGUCUUUGUAAUCAUUACUGUACUGUACUGUGACCAUUAGGCUGCCUCCAGUACAUAUCAACUGGGAUCGACCCAUGCUAGGCUUAUGCCCCUGGGAUACCACCCAUAAACACAUAAAUAGGGAUCGACCCAUGCUAGGCUUAUGCCCCUGGGAUACCACCCGAUAAGAGAGAACUUCCAUCACUUAGUUCAAUUAAUCUUUGAGAUUGUUAUUUCGGUCGCCACCACAUUUUUGAUACUUUGAAACAAUGAUACAUCAAUAGGAACCAAGUAAUAGACCUUCUAUACAAUAACGAUGUAAUAAAGACUCAUUGGUACAUCAACAAUGUGUUUCAGAAUCAUCAAUAUCACAACAAUGAAAUAAGAGCCUUUUGGUAUAUCAAUGAAACAUUUUGACACUUUAUAGAAUGGAAACAACUUCGUUGGUAACGUAGAACAAUACAUGUUUUUGGACAACCUCGGAAUCUUACUUGAUGGAACAUUGGUGUUUUCAUGCCAAAGAACAUUGUUAGAGUAUGCUUUACAUACCUCGUUGUAGAUUCGGAUACCAAUUCAACACAACUUCCCGCCUUUACAAAUCACUUAUCUACAAUGAAAUGUUUGGCAUCUAGUAUUAGCAACCCAACACCACAAUUCUCUUCCAUAAUUCCAUACUACCAAUAUUUGCAAAACAUUCCAAAAACCAACUUGAACAAUAGGUUUAUGUGUGUAUAUAUAUAUAAUCAUCAUUUCAAUACCACAUCAUCAAUACCACAUCAUCACCCCAAAUUCCUUCACAAUUUAACAUAAUCCAACCAUGCACAAGAAUAAUCCAACAUCAUUUCCAAUCAUCUUUCAACAACAAUCAAAUAACAUACUUCUUAUGCUCACAUGCAUAUAUAUAUAUAUAUACAUAUCCAUAUAAAUAACACCAACAUAAUUUACAUCCUUACCAAAAAAAUGGCCCUUUUGAUUUCGAAGUCCUGUUGGCACAAAUAAGGGGUGCUUCUCGAAGCCCUUGAGACGGUGAACACAACUACGGAAUCAAUUUGGAUUUUCUACGGUUGAAUCACAAGAUAAUUGGAGUUGAAAUUUGGCUAGGGUUUCUUAGUUUUCAAUAAUGGAUGAUAAAUAAUGGAUAUGAGGCUAAGUAUAUGUAUAUAAUGACCAAUUUUCGUUCAAGAGGUGAUGGAAAAUGACCAUAUUGCCCUUAAAAAUUUAAGUAAAUCCGAAUCUGUCCAUGGUGGACUGUUUUGAUAGGCUAAAGUAAAUCGGCCAUAACUCUUUGCUCCGAUAUCGGAUUUGGGUGAAAUUGGUAUCGUUAGAAAGAUAAUUCAAAGGUCUUUCAUUUAAUAUAAAUUAAUCCACCCAGUUCGUCCUGUACAAGUAGUUAUGAUCGUUUGAAGUUGACCCUAAAAAUCUGUUUUGAGAGGCUGAAGUAAAACGAGUAUAACUCCUUACUCAGAUGUUGGAUUUGGAUGAAACCAAUUUCAUUGGAAAGAAGACUCAAAGAUCUUUCUUUUGAUAUAUGGUAGCUCAACCAGUUCAUUAUAUUGAGGGAGUUAUGAUCGUUCAAAGUUGACCCAAAAAACUGGCAGGCCUCAGUAGUUUCCUGCACAUUUUACUGUUCACAUCCCGGCCACCGUUUUAAAGUUUCGAACGAGCUCGCUUAUAUCCGAAACUUAUCCGUUUUUGGAAAUCUUUAUAUCGUUGGAAAGCUUAUUCAAUAACCUUCGUAUGGCAAUAACCUUCGUAUGAAACCAUCGACGGACAAAUUCCGGUAUAAAUAAAAUAAAAAAUUAAUUUCAUAUAAAUAAGACCAAUACACGUACUUGAAUACGCCAAUACAUGUACUUGAAUACGGGGUGUUACAUAAAACUUCAUAAGUGUUCUUGAUAUAAUCUUGAACUUGUGUUGAAGUAUUUGUACAAAAACACAGAUUGUGUACCCGAAACAACAAAACUUGCUUUCCCAGUAAAUAAAAAGAAACGUUUUUUUUUGUUUUUAAAAAGCACCUAACACUUCAAUACUUGCAAAAGGAGUAUGGGAAGGAGAGUAAAGCCAACAAAAUACUGCUAUCCGUUUCCUUUAUCACCUUAAUUUCAAUUCAUGUAAUUUUAUUUCAUUUUUAAUUUGUUCAAAAAAAGUUUCUUUUAUAUUUUCCAAUAAAUUCAACACAAUUUUUAAGUUUUAUUCUAAAUAAAGAGCUUUUAUAGCCACAUAAUAUUAUGAUGUUUAAACUAUACUUUUGAAAUUUUUUAUAGCAAUAGAAAUGUUCAAUAUCUAACAUCACAAGUUUCAGAAGUUCACGUUCGAAUACUAUCACAUGAACACUAAUUAUAUAUACUUCUCCAUCAAUCAUCUCAUCCAUACAUGCACAUUCAAAAAAUGCUAGAACGUUUAACCAAAGAAAAAAAAAAAGCUAGAACGAAACAGUAGUAGCAAUAGAAUAUUAUCAAUGGAAGUUGAAUCAUCAUCAGAUCCAGUAGAGAACAGAUCAUACAACGUUGCAGAUUGUAAGUACGCAAGAAGGCAUAAGAGAAAAAGGAAAAUAUGCAUGUUGGUUCUAUGUGACUAUAUGCUUUUGGCUAUAACCUAUACUAUCUUGAAUUUCGCUGUUUUUAGGCCCAAGCGUCCUACUAUCUCGAUCAAUUCCAUCAUUCUGCAGGACUUGGCCGUGUCCGCCGACACCGCCAAGCUCAAGGUCUUCCUCAACAUUACCUUGAAUGGCACCAUCUGGGUUCAGAACCCCAACAGCUAGAAACAGGUUCAUGAUUUAAAGUUAGUGAGUUAGAAAUUUUUUAACUUAUUAACUUAACAUUUAUAGAAUUAUAUUUCUUUAUUCAUUUUUACUUAUCAUGUUUUGAUUUUCGAUAGUUAAAUUGUAUCAACUUUGACCAAUAUUUUGACAUAUAUUUUUUUAGCAUAUUAAUAUGAGAAAGCUUGUGCUUAUGAUAUUUUUCGUAUAGUUUUUGAAUACUUAAAUUUAAAAUUUAAAAUUUUAGAUAUUGCAUUAAUUUAAUUCAAUUUAGCUUCGAAGAUUAGUCAAAUCGACUCUCGUAAAGUGAAACAUGACAAUUAAAAAUGAAGGAGAGUACUUUUACUAGUUGUUUCCUCACACACAAGUAGGAAUAGUUUCUCUUUUUAACCCUUAAUUAUUAUUAAUAAAGAAAUUUUGAACUUGGUCCUUAAAUAUAAGUUGUAUUAAAUUAAAUAAAUAAAAAAUAUGUUUUAAUCCCUUUAAAUAAAAACUUGAUUGUAUCAAUAAUUUUUCGAGAUAUCAGCGACAUGUAGACUAAUCCAAUAGAGCAUACACAUGACCAGUUAAAUUGUUCAGAAAUUAAUAUUAUGUUAUAUCUAUAACAUAAUAACAAACAGAAGGAAUGAACAUUGCGCAUUUCAAUUAAUUGAAUACUAUAUUUGCUUAAUCAUAUAUCACAAGGAAUUAAGCAGAAUUUGUUGAUAUUUCAAGCACGAAAAAUGUGAGGUUCCCCACAUAUAUAACAUAUUCAUAUAAAUGAUAGCAUAUCAAUUACCAUAUAUCUUCAGAUUACCAAUUAUUAAGGCAUAUCAAAAUUUACAUGCAACUAUUUAUUAUGAUCCAAUAAUUGUUACACAGUUAAAAUACAAAACUUAAACUCAUACUACAAUGCAUAUGAUGUGAAAAAUGAUAGAUUCAGUUGGACCACCUUCUAACAGUACUCCAGGUCCGUUUCUAUCAACAGGGUCAGUUUUCAAUACGAAGACAUCAACCCUUAUAUCGAGUAUGGAGAUGAAAAAGUAGGAGAUGUUCACAUACCGGCUGGAAAGAUCGGGCCACGGACCACAACAACUAUGAACUUCACGAUGAUCAUAAUGGCGGAUAGGCUGUCGUCGGAUCCCAAUUUUUUUUCGGACGUUGUUGAAAAGGGGAUGUUGCCGUUAACUGUUUAUGUGAAACUGAGGGGCAAAGUAAAACUAAAUGUGUUGUUCAAAAUCAAGGUUAAAGUUUCUACCAGGUGCCAUCUGUCGUUGGAUAUCCGCAUGGCAACUACCGCCAACCAAUCUUGUCACUCCAAGAUUAAGUUAUAGCGUAGCUUAAAUAUAUGUGGAUUCAUCCACUAUUCAAUAUAAGCCAGAUUCAAACUUUAAAAUU